rnacentral:rRNA from 1 species
CCUACGGGAGGCAGCAGUAGGGAAUAUUGCUCAAUGGGGGAAACCCUGAAGCAGCAACGCCGCGUGGAGGAUGAAGGUUUUCGGAUUGUAAACUCCUUUUGUUAGAGAAGAUAAUGACGGUAUCUAACGAAUAAGCACCGGCUAACUCCGUGCCAGCAGCCGCGGUAAUACGGAGGGUGCAAGCGUUACUCGGAAUCACUGGGCGUAAAGAGCGCGUAGGCGGGAUAGCAAGUCAGAUGUGAAAUCCUAUGGCUUAACCAUAGAACUGCAUUUGAAACUGUUAUUCUAGAGUAUGGGAGAGGUAGGUGGAAUGCUUGGUGUAGGGGUGAAAUGCGUAGAGAUCAAGAGGAAUACUCAUUGCGAAGGCGACCUGCUAGAACAUAACUGACGCUGAGGCGCGAAAGCGUGGGGAGCAAACAGGAUUAGAUACCCCAGUAGUC